CGGGGGGGCAAGCGUUGUUCGGAAUUACUGGGCGUAAAGGGCGCGUAGGCGGUUUGCUAAGUCGGAUGUGAAAACUCUGGGCUCAACCCAGAGCCUGCAUCCGAAACUGGCAGGCUAGAGUUCUGGAGGGGGUAGCGGAAUUCCUGGUGUAGCGGUGAAAUGCGUAGAUAUCAGGAGGAACACCGGUGGCGAAGGCGGCUACCUGGACAGAAACUGACGCUGAGGCGCGAAAGCUAGGGGAGCAAACAGGAUUAGAUACCCUGGUAGUCCUAGCCCUAAACGAUGGAUACUUGGUGUGACUGGGAUUGAAUCCAGUCGUGCCGAAGCUAACGCAUUAAGUAUCCCGCCUGGGGAGUACGGUCGCAAGGCUG
rnacentral:rRNA from 1 species